GGGUCAGUAGGUUGGUCGUGCCACCGGUACGUACUGGUCUCACUGAUUCCUCCUUCCUGAAGAACCGUAAUGCCAUUAAUUUGGUGUUGCGGGGAAACAGGACUGUUACUUUGAAAAAAUUAGAGUGUUUAAAGCAAGCUAACGCUUGAAUACAUUAGCAUAGAAUAAUGAAAUAGGGCGAUCGAUCCUAUUUUGUUGGUUUCUAGGAUUGACGUA
rnacentral:rRNA from 1 species